AGCAGUAGCCGCGGUAACACGGAGGGUGCAAGCGUUAUCCGGAUUUAUUGGGUUUAAAGGGUCCGUAGGCGGAUCUGUAAGUCAGUGGUGAAAUCUCACAGCUUAACUGUGAAACUGCCAUUGAUACUGCAGGUCUUGAGUAAAUUUGAAGUGGCUGGAAUAAGUAGUGUAGCGGUGAAAUGCAUAGAUAUUACUUAGAACACCAAUUGCGAAGGCAGGUCACUAAGAUUUAACUGACGCUGAUGGACGAAAGCGUGGGGAGCGAACAGGAUUAGAGACCCCUGUAGUCCCUGUCUCUUAUAC
rnacentral:rRNA from 1 species